rnacentral:rRNA from 1 species
GCUUACGGCCAUACCAGCCUGGGUACGCCCGAUCUCGUCUGAUCUCGGAAGCGAAGCCGUGUCGGGCCUGGUUAGUACUUGGAUGGGAGACCGCCUGGGAAUACCAGGUGCUGUAAGGA